rnacentral:rRNA from 1 species
GACGAACGCUGGCGGCGUGCUUAACACAUGCAAGUCGAACGGAAAGGCCCUGCUUUUGUGGGGUGCUCGAGUGGCGAACGGGUGAGUAACACGUGAGUAACCUGCCCUUGACUUUGGGAUAACUUCAGGAAACUGGGGCUAAUACCGGAUAGGAGCUCCUGCUGCAUGGUGUGGGUUGGAAAGUUUCGGCGGUUGGGGAUGGACUCGCGGCUUAUCAGCUUGUUGGUGGGGUAGUGGCUUACCAAGGCUUUGACGGGUAGCCGGCCUGAGAGGGUGACCGGCCACAUUGGGACUGAGAUACGGCCCAGACUCCUACGGGAGGCAGCAGGGGGGAAUAUUGCACAAUGGGCGGAAGCCUGAGGCAGCAACGCCGCGUGCGGGAUGACGGCCUUCGGGUUGUAAACCGAUUUCGAAGGUGACGAAGCGUGAGUGACGGUAAUGGGUAAAGAAGCACCGGCUAACUACGUG